rnacentral:rRNA from 1 species
UACGGAAGGCGGCAGUGGGGAAUAUUGCACAAUGGGCGCAAGCCUGAUGCAGCCAUGCCGCGUGUAUGAAAAAGGCCUUCGGGUUGUAAAGUACUUUCAGUCGUGAGGAAGGUGUUAAGGUUAAUAACCUUAGCAAUUGACGUUAGCGACAGAAGAAGCACCGGCUAACUCCGUGCCAGCAGCCGCGGUAAUACGGAGGGUGCGAGCGUUAAUCGGAAUUACUGGGCGUAAAGGGCACGCAGGCGGUUAAUUAAGUUGGAUGUGAAAUCCCCGGGCUUAACCUGGGAAUGGCAUUCAAGACUGGUUAGCUAGAGUCUUGUAGAGGGGGUAGAAUUCCAUGUGUAGCGGUGAAAUGCGUAGAGAUGUGGAGGAAUACCGGUGGCGAAGGCGGCCCCUGGACAAAGACUGACGCUCAUGUGCGAAAGCGUGGGGAGCAAACAGGGAUUAGAUACCCGU